GUUUCUAAGCUGAUUUAUUUGAUAUAUUUAUAAGAAUGUUUUCUAUGAAACUUUUCGAAUAUAUGUGGUAGCAUGUUACGUAUUUACACCUGUUGCUGCGAUUGCCUUCCUUUUUAUUGGAACUCCGAAUUGCUUCAAGCUACUGCCCCGUUUGGAUUUAAAGCGAGUUGCAAGUUUACAUCGGAGUUCAUAUCGGGUUCUACCCAUGCAGCUCAACUAAGAAAACAAGAUGUUUGAAAGUUCAUAUUCUAUAUAAUCUCUUGAUAGAGGAAGCUACUCGAACUACUUGGCCAAGAUCAAUUCCGUUCGAGUUCGAAUAGCUACUGCGAGAAAUUGCAGAUGGGAGUUGCAAUUUAAUUCUUGGAGUUGCCAAAUGUUUUGUUCAAGUGGGAGCGCAAGACUUCUAUGG